AUUGAACGCUGGCGGCAGGCCUAACACAUGCAAGUCGAGCGGAUGAAGGGAGCUUGCUCCUGGAUUCAGCGGCGGACGGGUGCGUAAUGCCUAGGAAUCUGCCUGGUCGUGGGGGAUAACGUCCGGAAACGGGCGCUAAUACCGCAUACGUCCUGAGGGAGAAAGUGGGGGAUCUUCGGACCUCACGCUAUCAGAUGAGCCUAGGUCGGAUUAGCUAGUUGGUGGGGUAAAGGCCUACCAAGGCGACGAUCCGUAACUGGUCUGAGAGGAUGAACAGUCACACUGGAACUGAGACACGGUCCAGACUCCAACAGGAGGCAGCAGUGGGGAAUAUUGGACAAUGGGCGAAAGCCGAAUCCAGCCAUGCCGCGUGUGUGAAGAAGGUCGUCGGAUUGUAAAGCACUUUAAGUUGGGAGGAAGGGCAGUAAGUUAAUACCUUGCUGUUUUGACGUUACCAACAGAAUAAGCACCGGCUAACUUCGUG
rnacentral:rRNA from 1 species